rnacentral:rRNA from 1 species
GAUGAACGCUAGCUACAGGCUUAACACAUGCAAGUCGAGGGGCAGCAUGGUCUUAGCUUGCUAAGACUGAUGGCGACCGGCGCACGGGUGAGUAACACGUAUCCAACCUGCCGUCUACUCUUGGACAGCCUUCUGAAAGGAAGAUUAAUACAAGAUGGCAUCGUGANGUCCGCAUGUUCACAUGAUUAAAGGUAUUCCGGUAGACGAUGGGGAUGCGUUCCAUUAGAUAGUAGGCGGGGUAACGGCCCACCUAGUCUUCGAUGGAUAGGGGUUCUGAGAGGAAGGUCCCCCACAUUGGAACUGAGACACGGUCCAAACUCCUACGGGAGGCAGCAGUGAGGAAUAUUGGUCAAUGGGCGAGAGCCUGAACCAGCCAAGUAGCGUGAAGGAUGACUGCCCUAUGGGUUGUAAACUUCUUUUAUAAAGGAAUAGAGUCGGGUAUGGAUACCCGUUUGCAUGUACUUUAUGAAUA